AUCAUUCCAAUUUUGGCCCAUUAAGCCCAAAAAUAUCGAGGGCACAGAAAUCAUGCACUUUGCAGUCCAAACAUUGCAGCUUACCAAAAACAUUAAUCGAUUUACCUCACGAGCAUUCGCACACUCGCAAAUCUACAAAAUACCAGUUUUCAGCAUUUCGGCUUUUUCGCUUUUGCCGAUCUAGACUAAGAAAGAGGGUGUUAGUUACACACCUAUUUGCGACGAUAUGCUGACAAGAUCCACACACGAACUGCCUACAAUUGGAUUACUAACACGUUAAUCUAACUAUUCAAAUACAAACUACGUAUUAACCCCUUACAAUAUUUGGCCAACCACACCUACAGGUCAUAGUAAGCUUAUAAGAAAACAAUAAGCAACUCAUUAACAAAUUUUUGUCAAUGUUUACCACAUAAUCAUAAUUUCACUGCAAGUUGUCUUCCUGAGCAACAGUCACUAAAUCAUUUAUAACUGGAGCUACGAAACUCCAAAUCAAGUUCCGUUAAUUUUCCUUGAAAAUAGACUCAUAUAUCUUCUAUCCAUAAAAUUUUCAGAAUUUUUGGUUUAGCCAAUCAAUACCAGAUUUUUCACAAAGUUUCCCAUGUUUCACUGUUUGACUAAUCUGACCACUCUUCAUUACGAAUCAAAUUUCUCAUUGUACAGAAUUCAAAAUAUGUUCUAGUUUAUUUCAUUAGAAACUAGACUUAAUAAGAUUUAAUUACAUAAUUUAUUCAGCUUCUAAUUCAUCUCCCACAAUUUAUGGUGAUUUUCCAAAGUCACGUUACUGCUUCUGUCCCAAGCAGAUUUAUUACCAAAUCACUCUUUCACACAUACCUUGCAUGCAUGUUAUUUAAACAUGUAUAUCACCAAUCAAUCAUCACAUAUCUAUGAUUUUACUUAAGUAUAAUCUCCAUUUCAUCAUUUUAAAGCACAACAUGUUAGCUGAUUUUUCCCUUUAACAUCUAAGGCACAUGCAUGCUCAUUUGUUUGGCUCAACUUCACCUAUCUUCCAUUUUUCAUCAAAAGAACAUGAAACAACAACCAUUUCCUUCAUUUUAAUUCAUGACUAAAUGCUCACAACACAACUAAAAAUCAAAAUAUACUUCAAGAGUUAAGGUAGAAUCAAGAAGAACUCAUGAACCUCAAAAUAAAAGCAAGAUACCAAGAACUUACCUUCAAUUUUCCUCCUCCUAAUGACCGAAUACUCAAGAGCUUUC
rnacentral:lncRNA from 1 species